GCGGGCGUGGCGGAAUUGGCAGACGCGCCGGCUUUAGGUGCCGGUGCUCUUUUGAGCGUGGGGGUUCGAGUCCCUCCGCCCGCA
rnacentral:tRNA from 1 species